rnacentral:rRNA from 1 species
GCGCCUAAUACAUGCAAGUCGAACGAGAAUGUGUAGCAAUACACAUGUAAAGUGGCGAACGGGUGAGGAAUACAUAGGUAACCUACCCUCGAGUGGGGAAUAACUAGCCGAAAGGUUAGCUAAUACCGCGUACGCUCCCCGGACUACGGUUCGGGGAGGAAAGCGAUACCGUGGGUAUCGCGCUCUUGGAUGGGCUUAUGUCCUAUCAGCUUGUUGGUGAGGUAAUGGCUCACCAAGGCUUCGACGGGUAGCUGGUCUGAGAGGACGAUCAGCCACACUGGCACUGCGACUUGGGCCAG